rnacentral:lncRNA from 1 species
AAUUUAUAUAUAACUAUUACUUAAUAUUUAAUUUAUUUUAGGGUAAAAUAAGGGCAAAUGAUAAUCCAACUUUGAGGUUAGGAGCUUCCCACUUAGAAUAAGCAGAUGUACAUUACAGAAGCUAUCAACUAGGCAAUGAUGCAGGAGCUAAGUAUUAAAGUUCAAAAUGUUUGCUGGAAAAAUGAACUCUAUUUGUACAAAUCUUAGUCAUACAAGUAAAUAGUAUUUCCACUCCAAUUUCCGCCACAUGCAAUUUCCCUUGCCAAUCAUGACACUCAAACACAUCUAACACAAGUAGCAUUUCGACGAGGCCCAUGCUGGUGUUUCAAACAUGAAUCUGAAACACUUGAAAUGGUAAAAAGUCAGUUUUGGCACACGUUUCCUCCUUGGAGAAUGGAGAAGCGGAUCAUUGCAAGUAACCACUAAAAAGGGAGAAAGGAAAACCUGUUUAAGAUGAAUAUAUAUACUGCUAAGGACAUUUUAAGAGCCAAUGGGUCACUCUUUGCAAAAAUAUUCAUGACAACUAUCUUUGUUAAAGUCCUUCAUUAGCGGAAGUUUUAAUGAACGGAGAAAUUGUCUUGUGAGGUGAAAGUAACGACAAGUGUGCCAUAUAUUCAUAAAAGUUGUACCGUCUAAAGCAUGAAAAUAAAACCAGAAUUGCAGAAGACAUAAAGAUUAUUCUCUUAUGAAUCUAUUAAGAAACUUAUUUACAUUUCUACCAUAUAUGAGACUUGGUAUUGUUCCUUGAGAG